ensembl:ncRNA Y53F4B.61 ncRNA
AAAAAAGUUACAGCGGCCGACAGCUCGCAGGUCCGAAAAUUCGAGUUGAACUCGCAGGACGUCGGCGGCUAAUCUCAACUCACCUUUGCCAGGUGCCCCAGCCUCGUGAACUCAUCGUUUGUCAUUCUUUUUAUCACUUUAUCAGCGAUG